ACGAACGCUGGCGGCGUGCCUAACACAUGCAAGUCGAGCGGAGAUUGCUUAGAUGAGAGCUUCGGCAGGAUUCCGGGUAAUUCAGCGGCGGACGGGUGAGUAACGCGUGAGCAAUCUGUCUCAGACAGGGGGAUAACGCAGCGAAAGUUGCACUAAUACCGCAUGAGACCACAACGCCACAUGGCGAAGGGGUCAAAGGAGCAAUCCGGUCUGAGGUGAGCUCGCGUCCCAUUAGGUAGUUGGUGAGGUAACGGCCCACCCAGCCGACGAUGGGUAGCCGACCUGAGAGGGUGAUCGGCCACACUGGAACUGAGACACGGUCCAGACUCCUACGGGAGGCAGCAGUGGGGAAUAUUGGGCAAUGGGCGAAAGCCUGAACCCCAGCAACGCCGCGUGAGUGAAGAAGGUCUUCGGAUUGUAAAUCUCUGUCCUAAGAGAAGAGGGGAAGACGGUAUCUUAGGAGGAAGCCCCGGCUAACUACGUGCCAGCCGCAGC
rnacentral:rRNA from 1 species